UUUUUUUUUUUUUUGACAGUUUUUAAGUUUACUGCUUCAAUCUUUUCCUCGAUAAUUAACUAUUAAAGUCCUGCUGCCCUGGAGUGGCAAAGACAGCUCAGUGGAUGAAGGUGCUUGCUGCCACACCUGAUGACCUGUGGUCAAUCCCUGGAACCCACACAGACAAAGAAGAGAAUGACUCCCAAAAUUUGUCCUGCCUUCUUCUACAAGCAUCGCAGAUACAUACAGUCUCUUUCUGUCUCUGA